GCAUCGAUAGCGCAGCGCAGUAGCAUAGAGUUAAAACAUGCGACCCGGGUUCAAUCCCCGGUCGAUGCA